rnacentral:ncRNA from 2 species
UGAACAAAUGAUUAGAUAACUCAUAUAACCUUGAGAAUGGGAUCAAGGGUUUCUACGAGGCAACCGUAAAUUGCUUCUCUAUGAGCCAAGGAUGGUUUAUA